AUUUUAAAUAUCAAGUUUCUGGUAUUGCCUAUUUAUUCUUUGGCAUAUAUUAUUGUUCAAAACCAAUAUAUGUAUAUACUUGCACAAAAAUCAAAUGGAACCUUAUCCUUAUCAUUCCAGAGAAGAGCAUAGGUGCCCCUCUGUCUCUUGCACAGAACAGUUAUUUUUUAAUUUGUUAUUUAGAUUUUUUCAUUCCGUUUCUACUAAGGGAUUACAUACUGUAGGCUUUAUUAUAGUUCUUUGUUGUGAACUGUUGGUUAUAUCAGGUCAGUCCAAAAGUUUGUGCACAUUUUUGGGAAAUUUUUAAAUAGUAUAAAUAAAACACAAUUUAACAUUUUAAUCAAUGAUAUAUUUUCC
rnacentral:lncRNA from 1 species